CCUACGGGGGGCAGCAGUAGGGAAUCUUCGGCAAUGGGCGAAAGCCUGACCGAGCAACGCCGCGUGAAUGAAGAAGGCCUUCGGGUUGUAAACCUCUUUUGUCGGGGAGCAAGACCCGCCUCGUGCAGGCGGAGCGAGAGUACCCGAAGAAAAAGCAUCGGCUAACUCCGUGCCAGCAGCCGCGGUAAUACGGAGGAUGCGAGCGUUAUCCGGAUUUAUUGGGUUUAAAGGGUGCGCAGGCGGACCAUCAAGUCAGCGGUAAAAUCGUGGGGCCCAACCCCAUCCCGCCGUUGAAACUGGCGGCC
rnacentral:rRNA from 1 species